rnacentral:rRNA from 1 species
AAAUUGAAGAGUUUGAUCAUGGCUCAGAUUGAACGCUGGCGGCAGGCCUAACACAUGCAAGUCGAACGGUAACAGGAAGCAGCUUGCUGCUUUGCUGACGAGUGGCGGACGGGUGAGUAAUGUCUGGGAAACUGCCUGAUGGAGGGGGAUAACUACUGGAAACGGUGGCUAAUACCGCAUAACGUCGCAAGACCAAAGAGGGGGACCUUCGGGCCUCUUGCCAUCAGAUGUGCCCAGAUGGGAUUAGUUUGUUGGUGAGGUAACGGCUCACCAAGGCGACGAUCCCUAGCUGGUCUGAGAGGAUGACCAGCCACACUGGAACUGAGACACGGUCCAGACUCCUACGGGAGGCAGCAGUGGGGAAUAUUGCACAAUGGGCGCAAGCCUGAUGCAGCCAUGCCGCGUGUAUGAAGAAGGCCUUCGGGUUGUAAAGUACUUUCAGCGGGGAGGAAGGUGUUG